CUUAUAAUUCUAGUUGGUGGCAGCAAGUAUGACUAUUAAAUAAAGUCAAACAAUGACUAGCUAAUUUAUGAAGCUAGGUGGCAUAUCUAGGAGGAUCCUUCAAAAAGUAAUCCUUGUGGACUGGGACCCACAGCCCACUAUGGUAAAGAAAACUCCAUUUAUCAUUAAGUGAUUCACGUUUUGUAAAGUUAAAGGAGGGGCAGCAAUAACAAUGAUAUAUGGUUAAAUGGAGUAUUUCCAUUUAUGGGGAAAGAAUUGAUGCAAAUUCCAAAGUACACCAGCAGCAAUUGACGUCCCUGCUCCUUCUUUUUAUGGAAACCACUUUCUUUUCUUUCUAUUUUUAGGAAAACAAAGGGGUACUGCCCGUGGAUAUAUAGAGGUAUUUAUAUAUAUACAGAUUUCAACACACCUCAAAUGGGGAGGACCUCUUUAUUGACUUAUGGGCAAAAACGUACUAGUACAUUAACUGUACAUUCAAUUCUUGGAAGAUUAAGCAAGCAACAAUGUGAUUUAUGUGUGGUAGACCAGCAACAUUAAUUAUAAUUUUGGCAGCAACAUGAUUUAUUCGGAACAGCAGCUACGUUAUACGAUUUGGUUACGGGUUUCGAUUACUACUUUAAUCUCGUUGUUUCGUUAUUGAAUUCGGACUUUCUUCAAAGUGAAGUAACGUGAAAGAAGAGUAUUUCUUGGCAUAUAAGGCUAAAGGGGCGACGAAGCAAGCUUGGUUACGGUUGGUCUACGACAGGUACAGAUGCUCACGUUGGUAACCCGCCAGCUUAGGAGUCCUAUUCAGCUAUCUUGGAGAGCUCCCUUGUUCCGGAGCCCAGAUUUUGAUUGAGGAGUCCGGGAUCUGAUUUGUGGUUAGCUUGGAGCGGAUAAGUCCCAUAUUGUUUUACAGGUAAAAGUAUUCAGCUAGGAUGGUUGGCUAUCAGCUGGGAAUGGCAAACUCCAUUUUCUUCCUGGAGCAGUGCCGAGUCAUUAUGAUUAUCAUAUAUGUGUACGGGUAUGUCCGGGCCCUGUCCCGACUCAUAUGAUCCAGGUGUUUACUCUUAGAGACUUUGCAGACAGUGUCCUGUGGUUUGUAUAUUGAGAUGUCAUGUGUUGGGUAAAGCGACCACGUAGGCCGAUAUGUCAGUUUGACUUGCUCGAUUUUUGAUUAAUUGAGUAUCGUUCGCAAAUUUCUAUGGUUUGACGGAAAGUAAUUUAUUAUAUUUCUGAAAUUUUUCUAUAUGUCCAGUUUCAUUAUGUGAAUGCUAGAGGGUUCGCUUAGCUCUAAGUAAGAGCUGGGUGCCCAUCAUGCCCUAUCGGAAUUGGGGUGUGACAAUGAUAAUGAUGACGAUAAUGAUAGUGAUGAUAAUAGUAAAGAUGCUUAUGAGCUAUUAUGUAUAUGUAUCUGUGUAUGACUAUUAUGGGGCCCUGAGCUUAUAAGGCUGGGUAGAAUAUGUAUAUAUUUAUGUAAUGUGUGCACACCUCUGCAGUUGGUACGGAUAACCCUGAAGCCUUGGUAGGGCCAGGUAUGUGUAACCUUGAGCCUUGGUUGGCCAAGUAUGUAUGAUAAACCGAGCCUAGCCAUGGUCGGGUACGUGAAACACCGAACCUUCUUGGUCGGGCAUGCUAUGUAAAUGCUAUGUAUAUGCUAUGGUUAUGUAUAUGAUAUAGAUAUGAGUAUGAAUACGGAUAUGAUACGAAUAUGAAUAAGAAUAUGUAUAUGGUAUGAAUGUGAAUAAAGGUAUGUAUAUGGAUACGAGUACGGAUACGAAAUGUAAAUGAGUACGGAUAUGAAAACGGAUACGAAUUCGGAUGUAUGUACACAACCUCGCAUUAGAAAUGGAAGGUCUCUAUGAAAAGCAAGUAAGUGCUUAUGACGAUGAUAUUACUA